GACGAACCGUGCGAACGUUGUUCGGAAUCACUGGGCUUAAAGGGAGCGUAGGCGGGCUAUCAAGUCUGGGGUGAAAUCCCACGGCUCAACCGUGGAACUGCCUCAGAUACUGACGGCCUCGAGGGAGAUAGGGGCAUGCGGAACUGUAGGUGGAGCGGUGAAAUGCGUUGAUAUCUACAGGAACUCCGGUGGCGAAAGCGGCGUGCUGGAUCUCUUCCGACGCUGAGGCUCGAAAGCUAGGGGAGCAAACAGG
rnacentral:rRNA from 1 species